UCCGAGUUGACCCCGGCAGUCUCCUAUGAGUCCCCACCAUAACGCGCUGGCAACAUAGGACAAGGGUUGCGCUCGUUGCGGGACUUAACCCAACAUCUCACGACACGAGCUGACGACAGCCAUGCACCACCUGUAUACCGACCACAAGGGGGGCCACAUCUCUGCAGCUUUCCGGUAUAUGUCAAGCCCUGGUAAGGUUCUUCGCGUUGCGUCGAAUUGAGCCACAUGCUCCGCCGCUUGUGCGGGUCCCCGUCAAUUCCUUUGAGUUUUAGCCUUGCGGCCGUACUCCCCAGGCGGGUCACUUAAUGCGUUAGCUCCGGCACGGAGGGAGUCGACACCCCCCACACCUAGUGGCCAUCGUUUACGGCGUGGACUAC
rnacentral:misc_RNA from 1 species